GACGAACGCUGGCGGCGUGCUUAACACAUGCAAGUCGAACGAAGUGGCGAACGGGUGAGUAACGCGUAAUCAACCUGCCCUUCAUAGGGGGACAACAGUUGGAAACGCCUGCUAAUACCGCAUACUGAAGGAGGUGAUUGCGUCUGAUUAGUUAGUUGGAGGGGUAAGGGCCCACCAAGGCUAUGAUCAGUGGCCGGUUGGAGAGGAUGAACGGCCAAAUGGGGACUGGGAGACGGCCCAGACUCCUACGGGAGGCAGCAGUGGGGAGUCUUCCGCAAUGGACGAAAGUCUGACGGGGCAACGCCGCGUGAGUGAUGACGGCCUUCGGGUUGUAAAGCUCUGUUAAUCGGGACGCGGUACCGGAAUAGAAAGCCACGGCUAACUACGUGCCAGCAGCCGCGGUAAUAC
rnacentral:rRNA from 1 species